AAUCAACGCUGGCGGCGUGCCUCAGACAUGCAAGUCGAACGAUUAAAGCUCUCUUCGGAGAGUGCAUAGAGUGGCGCACGGGUGAGUAACACGUAAGUAAUCUACCUUCGAGUGGGGAAGUAACGUCCGGAACGGACGCUAAUACCGCAUAAUGCAGCGGCAUCGCAAGAUGACAGUUGUUAAAGGAGCAAUUCGCUUGAAGAGGAGCUUGCGGCAGAUUAGCUAGUUGGUAAGGUAAUAGGCUUACCAAGGCUACGAUCUGUAACCGGUCUAAGAGGACGGUCGGUCACACUGACACUGAAUAACGGGUCAGACUCCUACGGGAGGCAGCAGUCGGGAA
rnacentral:rRNA from 1 species